UAUUGGGCAAUGGAGGCAACUCUGACCCAGCCAUGCCGCGUGGGUGACGAAGGUCCUCGGAUUGUAAAGCCCUUUCGGCGGAGACGAUGAUGACGGUAUCCGCAGAAGAAGCCCCGGCUAACUUCGUGCCAGCAGCCGCGGUAAUACGAAGGGGGCUAGCGUUGUUCGGAAUUACUGGGCGUAAAGGGCGUGUAGGCGGCCCGCUAAGUCAGGUGUGAAAGGCCUGGGCUCAACCCAGGAAAUGCGCCUGAGACUGACGGGCUUGAAUCCGGGAGAGGAUGGUGGAACUCCCAGUGUAGAGGUGAAAUUCGUAGAUAUUGGGAAGAACACCCGUGGCGAAGGCGGCCAUCUGGACCGGUAUUGACGCUAAGGCGCGACA
rnacentral:rRNA from 1 species